AAGGCUAUAGUUAAUAAUAACAUUUAAUUUGCAAUUAAAAAGUAUUGAAUACAAAAUCAAUUUUCCUUA
rnacentral:tRNA from 1 species